GGGUUUCCAUGUCUACAAUUCCUUCCACAGUGAUGUCAGCACCUUGGUGAGCACCCUGAGGUGGUUAUCGGGAUGGGGUCAGAUGAUCCCUAAUUACACCUGCCAGGCACAGAACAAGAAUGUGGCUGUCACUGCAGGAACCACACCAGCAUUCUCUGCCCACAUUGGGACACUGUUGGAGCUCUACAAAAUACCACAGAGAACUCAAUAUGGAACACUUUUUCUCUUUUGAUUCAGACAACCUAUGGAGAUUUUGAUCCUGUACUGAAAGCUCCACCCAUUCCUAAGAAACACCCAAUUUAAAAAAAGCACUGGAGCUCACGUGUCACUGGAUGAGAAAAGAAACUCUGUGUCACAGCAUGUAAUUCUGAACUAUAUGAUUUUCCUAAAGGUCUUGGACUUCAGGUGAAAGACGUUCUGUCAGCCAGGAUUCAGGAACAUCCCUCAGGAAGAGAGAGCUACCUGCUGCUUUGUCUGUGUAUUGUGCCCAGAGAGAGAAAUAUGUAAUCAGACAGAAAAGAAAAGUGUCUGUGGGGCUCAAGUUUGAGUUGAAACCAGGCUCAGGGUCCACCUGUCCUCGCUGAUCCGUGGAUUUCUGUGUGACCAGCUUUGGGGCACAACCUGAAGACCCUCACAGUCACCUUCCCCAUCUCCACCCUCCAGUAUUCAUCAGACAGGAGCAAUGGCUCAGCCACGUUCCACUCCACUGAGAGGGUCCUGCAGAGCCUGCUGGAUCCUUGUUCAAGAAGAGCAGCCUGGGCCUCUUCUCCUUGAGUUGCAGACUGGUCUCCCUCAGGCCUGUGAAGGAUGGGGGAGCCACCUGUGUGGACGCUGUCUGCACCCACCACCGUGACCUCGUGGGCCACCAUGCCUCUGUGCUGGGAGCUGAGAGUCUCCACGUGUCUGCUCUUCCUCUCGGUGGCUCCAGGCUCUGCACCCUGGAGUUUAUGCAUGCAGAGAGAACACCAGCUGCAUUACCGCAGCAUCAGCUGGAACCACAG